AAUGAACGCUGGCGGCAGGCCUAACACAUGCAAGUCGAACGGAUCCUUCGGGAUUAGUGGCGGACGGGUGAGUAACGCGUGGGAACAUACCCUUUGGUACGGAAUAGCCUCGGGAAACUGGGAGUAAUACCGUAUGUGGUCGAGAGACGAAAGAUUUAUCGCCAAAGGAUUGGCCCGCGUUGGAUUAGUUAGUUGGUGGGGUAAUGGCCUACCAAGCCGACGAUCCAUAGCUGGUUUGAGAGGAUGAUCAGCCACACUGGGACUGAGACACGGCCCAGAUUCCUACGUGAGGAAGCAGUGGGGAAUCUUAGACAAUGGGGGAAACCCUGAUCUAGCCAUGCCGCGUGAUCGAUGAAGGCCUUAGGGUUGUAAAGAUCUUUCAGGUGGGAAGAUAAUGACUGUACCACCAGAAGAAGCCCCGGCUAACUCCGUGCCAGCCGCCGCCGUAA
rnacentral:rRNA from 1 species